GACGAACGCUGGCGGCGUGCCUAAUACAUGCAAGUAGAACGCUGAAGAGAGGAGCUUGCUCUUCUUGGAUGAGUUGCGAACGGGUGAGUAACGCGUAGGUAACCUGCCUUGUAGCGGGGGAUAACUAUUGGAAACGAUAGCUAAUACCGCAUAACAAUGGAUGACACAUGUCAUUUAUUUGAAAGGGGCAAUUGCUCCACUACAAGAUGGACCUGCGUUGUAUUAGCUAGUAGGUGAGGUAACGGCUCACCUAGGCGACGAUACAUAGCCGACCUGAGAGGGUGAUCGGCCACACUGGGACUGAGACACGGCCCAGACUCCUACGGGAGGCAGCAGUAGGGAAUCUUCGGCAAUGGGGGCAACCCUGACCGAGCAACGCCGCGAGAGUGAAGAAGGGUUUCGGAUCGUAAAGCUCUGUUGUAAGUCAAGAACGAGUGUGAGAGUGGAAAGUUUACACUGUGACGGUAGCUUACCAGAAAGGGACGGCUAACUACGUG
rnacentral:rRNA from 1 species